rnacentral:rRNA from 1 species
GACGAACGCUGGCGGCGUGCCUAAUACAUGCAAGUAGAACGCACAGUUUAUACCGUAGCUUGCUACACCAUAAACUGUGAGUUGCGAACGGGUGAGUAACGCGUAGGUAACCUGCCUGGUAGCGGGGGAUAACUAUUGGAAGCGAUAGCUAAUACCGCAUAAUAUUGAUUAUUGCAUGAUAAUUGAUUGAAAGAUGCUAUUGCAUCACUACCAGAUGGACCUGCGUUGUAUUAGCUAGUAGGUGAGGUAACGGCUCACCUAGGCGACGAUACAUAGCCGACCUGAGAGGGUGAUCGGCCACACUGGGACUGAGACACGGCCCAGACUCCUACGGGAGGCAGCAGUAGGGAAUCUUCGGCAAUGGACGAAAGUCUGACCGAGCAACGCCGCGUGAGUGAAGAAGGUUUUCGGAUCGUAAAGCUCUGUUGUAAGAGAAGAACGGGUGUGAGAGUGGAAAGUUCACACUGUGACGGUAUCUUACCAGAAAGGGACGGCUAACUACGUG